GUGUCAGCCGCCGCGGUAAUACGGGGGGUGCAAGCGUUGUUCGGAAUUAUUGGGCGUAAAGAGCGUGUAGGCGGCUGAAUAAGUCAGAUGUGAGAUCCCUGGGCUUAACCCAGGAAGUGCAUUUGAAACUAUUCAGCUUGAGUAGGGGAGAGGAAAGUGGAAUUCCUGGUGUAGAGGUGAGAUUCGUAGAUAUCAGGAGGAACACCGGUGGCGAAGGCGACUUUCUGGCCCUAUACUGACGCUGAGACGCGAGAGCGUGGGGAGCAAAUAGGAUUAGAUACCCUAGUAGUCCACGCCGUAA
rnacentral:rRNA from 1 species